rnacentral:ncRNA from 1 species
AUAUAAUAUAAAUUAUGUUUUUGAUAAUUUAUUAUAAAUUUAUUUUACAUAUAAAUUUUAGUAUUAAUUUUUAAUUAUUUUAAUAAUAAUUAAUUAUUCAUUUAGUAGUAAUUUAUAUUAAAAAUUUAAGAAAUUAAGAUUUAGUAAUAUAAAAAUUAAUAACUAAUUUUGUGCCAGCAGUUGCGGUUAAACAAAAAUUAAAUUAAAUUAUUUCAGUUUUUAAUAAAUAAAUAAAAAUUAAAAUAAAUAUUAAAUUAUUAGGUGAAAUUUUAAUUUAAUUAAAUUUUAUAUUUAUUUUAUGAUUUAAUAAAUUUAAAAAUAAACUAGGAUUAGAUACCCUAUUAUUAAAAAUUUAAUUUAAAAUACUAAAAUAGUAAAUAAUAAUUUAUUGAAACUUAAAUAAUAUGGCGGUAAUUUAGUUCAUUUAGAGGAAUCUGUCUAAUAAUUGAUAAUCCACGAAUAAAUUUACUUAGUUUAUAAUUUUGUAUAUCAUUGUUAAAAAAAUAUUUUUUAGUAAAAAUAAUAUUUAAAAUUUUAAAUGAAAAUUAAUUCAAAUCAAGAUGCAGAAUAUAAUUAAGAAUAUGAUGGAUUACAAUAAAUAUAUUUAAAUGAAUAAUUUUAUUGAAAUAAAAAUUUGAAGGUGGAUUUAAAUGUAAUUUUAAUUAAUUUAUUAAAAUGAUUAAAAAUUAAAUUAUGUACAUAUUGCCCGUCACUUUCAUUUUAAAAUUGAAAUAAGUCGUAACAAAGUAGAGGUACUGGAAAGUGUUUCUAGAAAGA